GCUAUGAACUUAAGCCCCAGUAAACGGCGGCCGUAACUAUAACGGUCCUAAGGUAGCGAAAUUCCUUGUCGGGUAAGUUCCGACCCGCACGAAUGGCGUAAUGAUUUGCGCACUGUCUCGGCAAUAAAUCCGGUGAAAUUGUAGUGCAAGUGAAGAUGCUUGCUACCCGCGGUUGGACGGAAAGACCCCGUAGAGCUUUACUGUAGCUUAGCAUUGAAUUUCGGUAUUGUCUGUACAGGAUAGGUGGGAGACUUAGAAGCGAGGGCGUCAGCUUUCGUGGAGUCGUCCUUGGGAUACCACCCUGACAGUACUGGAAUUCUAACUGGAGGCCAUGAAUCUGGUCACAGGACAUUGCUAGGUGGGCAGUUUGACUGGGGCGGUCGCCUCCUAAAAGGUAACGGAGGCGCCCAAAGGUUCCCUCAGCGCGGUCGGAAAUCGCGCGUAGAGUGCAAAGGCAGAAGGGAGCCUGACUGCGACACAUACAGGUGGAGCAGGGACGAAAGUCGGGCUUAGUGAUCCGGUGGUUCUGUAUGGAAGGGCCAUCGCUCAACGGAUAAAAGCUACCUCGGGGAUAACAGGCUGAUCUCCCCCAAGAGUCCACAUCGACGGGGAGGUUUGGCACCUCGAUGUCGGCUCGUCGCAUCCUGGGGCUGUAGUCGGUCCCAAGGGUUGGGCUGUUCGCC
rnacentral:rRNA from 1 species